GGCAACAUGGCCGAGUGGUCCAAGGCGUGUGACUCAAGCGAAAGCUUGCCUGCUUCAGCGGGUUUCUCAUCUGGGUAUCCAGGCGUGGGUUCGAACCCCACUGUUGUCA
rfam:Trametes pubescens strain FBCC735 TRAPTBscaffold_231, whole genome shotgun sequence.